rnacentral:tRNA from 1 species
UGCCCAUUGGCCCAGUGGUUAAGGCGUCUGACUGUUAUUCACAGAAAAUCAGAAGAUCCCUGGUUCGACCCCAGGAUGGGCAG